GUCGUCUUAGCCAUGCAUGCGAAGAUCUUUCUCUUCGCUUUUCUGCUCCUUGUCAGCGUCCUCCUCGUACAGGGGUAUAGGGACGGGGAAUGCAACGAAACGGCUCUAGUGGGGUGUCGUGGAGAUGCCGGGGGAAACAAGUGGACUUUUGAUAAUAAUGAAGACUGUACAGAAGUACAGAUCUGUGGAGGAGAAGAAACCAAGAACCAAUUUGGCAGUUGGAGCGACUGCUAUCAAAAAUGCAUAAGGACUUGGUAACGCCGCAUCGUCACGAGACCUCGUGCGUCGAGCUCGUCACGUGCAGUCAAGAAGAUUCGACCGUAGAGUUCGACAAGAAUUCCAAAUAAAGGGAUCUUAAAU